UUUAAAUUUAGAGUUUGAUCCUGGCUCAGGACGAACGCUGGCGGCGUGCUUAACACAUGCAAGUCGAGCGAUGAAGCUUCCUUCGGGGAGUGGAUUAGCGGCGGACGGGUGAGUAACACGUGGGUAACCUGCCUCAAAGUGGGGGAUAGCCUUCCGAAAGGAAGAUUAAUACCGCAUAAUAUAAGAGAAUCGCAUGAUUUUCUUAUCAAAGAUUUAUUGCUUUGAGAUGGACCCGCGGCGCAUUAGCUAGUUGGUAAGAUAACGGCUUACCAAGGCAACGAUGCGUAGCCGACCUGAGAGGGUGAUCGGCCACAUUGGAACUGAGACACGGUCCAGACUCCUACGGGAGGCAGCAGUGGGGAAUAUUGCGCAAUGGGGGAAACCCUGACGCAGCAACGCCGCGUGGGUGAUGAAGGUCUUCGGAUUGUAAAGCCCUGUUUUCUAGGACGAUAAUGACGGUACUAGAGGAGGAAGCCACGGCUAACUACGUGCCAGCAGCCGCGGUAAUACGUAGGUGGCGAGCGUUGUCCGGAUUUACUGGGCGUAAAGGGUGCGUAGGCGGAUGUUUAAGUGGGAUGUGAAAUCCCCGGGCUUAACCUGGGGGCUGCAUUCCAAACUGGAUAUCUAGAGUGCAGGAGAGGAAAGCGGAAUUCCUAGUGUAGCGGUGAAAUGCGUAGAGAUUAGGAAGAACACCAGUGGCGAAGGCGGCUUUCUGGACUGUAACUGACGCUGAGGCACGAAAGCGUGGGUAGCAAACAGGAUUAGAUACCCUGGUAGUCCACGCCGUAAACGAUGGAUACUAGGUGUAGGGGGUAUCAACUCCCCCUGUGCCGCAGUUAACACAAUAAGUAUCCCGCCUGGGGAGUACGGUCGCAAGAUUAAAACUCAAAGGAAUUGACGGGGGCCCGCACAAGCAGCGGAGCAUGUGGUUUAAUUCGAAGCAACGCGAAGAACCUUACCUGGACUUGACAUCCCUUGCAUAGCCUAGAGAUAGGUGAAGCCCUUCGGGGCAAGGAGACAGGUGGUGCAUGGUUGUCGUCAGCUCGUGUCGUGAGAUGUUAGGUUAAGUCCUGCAACGAGCGCAACCCUUGUUAUUAGUUGCUACCAUUAAGUUGAGCACUCUAAUGAGACUGCCUGGGUAACCAGGAGGAAGGUGGGGAUGACGUCAAAUCAUCAUGCCCCUUAUGUCCAGGGCUACACACGUGCUACAAUGGUAGGUACAAUAAGACGCAAGACCGUGAGGUGGAGCAAAACUUAUAAAACCUAUCUCAGUUCGGAUUGUAGGCUGCAACUCGCCUACAUGAAGCUGGAGUUGCUAGUAAUCGCGAAUCAGAAUGUCGCGGUGAAUACGUUCCCGGGCCUUGUACACACCGCCCGUCACACCAUGAGAGCUGGUAACACCCGAAGUCCGUGAGGUAACCGUAAGGAGCCAGCGGCCGAAGGUGGGAUUAGUGAUUGGGGUGAAGUCGUAACAAGGUAGCCGUAGGAGAACCUGCGGCUGGAUCACCUCCUUUCUA
rnacentral:rRNA from 1 species